rnacentral:rRNA from 1 species
CGCGUAGGCGGCCUGUUAAGUCGAACGUGAAAUCCCUGGGCUCAACCCAGGAACUGCGUCCGAUACUGGCAGGCUUGAAUCCGGGAGAGGGAUGUGGAAUUCCAGGUGUAGCGGUGAAAUGCGUAGAUAUCUGGAGGAACACCGGUGGCGAAGGCGGCAUCCUGGACCGGUAUUGACGCUGAGGCGCGAAAGCCAGGGGAGCAAACG